AGUGAACGCUGGCGGUAGGCCUAACACAUGCAAGUCGAACGGCAGCACAGUAAGAGCUUGCUCUUACGGGUGGCGAGUGGCGGACGGGUGAGGAAUACAUCGGAAUCUACUUUUUCGUGGGGGAUAACGUAGGGAAACUUACGCUAAUACCGCAUACGACCUACGGGUGAAAGCAGUGGAUCUUCUGACCUUGCGCGAUUGAAUUAGCCGAUGUCGGAUUAGCUAGUUGGCGGGGUAAAGGCCCACCAAGGCGACGAUCCGUAGCUGGUCUGAGAGGAUGAUCAGCAACACUGGAACUGAGACACGGUCCAGACUCCUACGGGAGGAAGCAGUGGGGAAUAUUGGACAAUGGGCGCAAGCCUGAUCCAGCAAUACCGCGUGGGUGAAGAAGGACUUCGGGUUGUAAAGCCCUUUUGUUGGGAAAGAAAAGCAGCAGGUUAAUACCCCGCUGUUCUGACGGUACCCAAAGAAUAAGCACCGGCUAACUUCGUG
rnacentral:rRNA from 1 species